ensembl:misc_RNA 7SK 7SK RNA
GGAUGUGAGGGCAAUCUGGCUGUGACAUGUGUCACCCCAUUAAAUGCCAGGGUUGAUUUGGCUGAUCUGGCUGGCUAGGCGGGUGGCCCCUUCCUCCCUUACCGCUCCAUGUGUGUCCCUCCUGAAGCUGCGCACUCGGUUGAAGAGGAUGACCAUCCCUGAUAGAGGAGGACCAGUCUUCAGUCAAGGGUAUACGAGUAGCUAUGCUGUCCUGCUAGAACCUCCAAACAAGCUCUCAAGACAAACGGUUGUGGAGACAAAGAUUUGAUUAUGCAGCUGAAGCCUCCAGGCAGCAGGUUUCAGAGCU